rnacentral:rRNA from 1 species
CCGAUAGGCGUCGACCGGCGCACGGGUGAGUAACGCGUAUCCAACCUGCCCAUCACUUGGGGAUAACCUUGCGAAAGUAAGACUAAUACCCAAUGACGUCUCUAGAAGACAUCUGAAAGAGAUUAAAGAUUUAUCGGUGUACGAUGGGGAUGCGUUCCAUUAGGUAGUAGGCGGGGUAACGGCCCACCUAGCCAACGAUGGAUAGGGGUUCUGAGAGGAAGGUCCCCCACAUUGGAACUGAGACACGGUCCAAACUCCUACGGGAGGCAGCAGUGAGGAAUAUUGGUCAAUGGGCGAGAGCCUGAACCAGCCAAGUAGCGUGCAGGAUGACGGCCCUAUGGGUUGUAAACUGCUUUUAUAAGGGAAUAAAGUGGGAGUCGUGACUCUUUUUGCAUGUACCUUAUGAAUAAGGACCGGCUAAUUCCGUG